CGGGAGGCAGCAGUGGGGAAUUUUGGACAAUGGGGGAAACCCUGAUCCAGCCAUGCCGCGUGAGUGAAGAAGGCCCUAGGGUCGUAAAGCUCUUUCGCCUGUGAUGAUAAUGACAGUAGCAGGUAAAGAAACCCCGGCUAACUCCGUGCCAGCAGCCGCGGUAAUACGGAGGGGGUUAGCGUUGUUCGGAAUUACUGGGCGUAAAGCGCGCGUAGGCGGAUUGGAAAGUUGGGGGUGAAAUCCCGGGGCUCAACCCCGGAACUGCCUUCAAAACUCCCAGUCUAGAGUUCGAGAGAGGUGAGUGGAAUUCCGAGUGUAGAGGUGAAAUUCGUAGAUAUUUGGAGGAACACCAGUGGCGAAGGCGACUGUCUGGAC
rnacentral:rRNA from 1 species